CAUCGAUUCUACUAAAAUUUUCAAGCUUAACCACUGAAAACAAAACACUGCCACUGAUUCAUUCAAUCGUCAAAUUUGUUCCUUUUUCUCAUUUCUGAAUUCUACGAUGCAAAGGGUAUCUUCAACAAUCUCAAGGACUCAGACGUUUUGUUUUUUAAAUUUGUUCAACAAAUUUGGUCAAUGUGAUAUAUUGAAUAUAUCACUUGGGAAGAGGUCAUAUUGGAGCAUCCAUGAAAGCAAAACUUUAUGACCUGCUGGAGCAUAGAGCUUCAGAAUGUCGAUAUUUUGUCAUUCCUGUUUGGAGAGGAAGUGGUUAUACGACAAUGUUUGUUCAAGUGCAGAUGCCACACAUUCUUUUUACGGGUCUUGAAGAUUACAAGGCCAGGGGAACACAAGCAGCCCCCUACUUUACUGUGACCUUUUACAAAGAAUUUGCUGAGACGAAGGACUUGGUGCUUAUCUUGGUGCUUAAGCUGACUGACUCUGAGGCGGAAUGGCUAAUAGAAACUGUUCAGUCUUUCUAUUUGAAUGAUGCAAGGUACAAACUGGUUGAGAAGUUCAACAAAGAAACACAUGAUUUUGAGUUUAAGGAUGUCUUGCAAGCGUUGAACAUGCCGAUUCUGUGACUACUUUUAAUUGGACAAAUACUAAAUUGCUGCAACAAGCAAAGAAGAAGGGUUGAUUGAAGCAAGGACAUUGAAGUUGCAAAUGAACCUGUUUAUCGAGAUGUCAGCCUAUGGUGAAGGGAGACACAAAAUGGAAAUGACUCAUGGCAAGUCACUCAUAUUACCCAAUAAUUUCGGUUAUGUGAAGUCAACAAUAGUAUCCAGAGGAAACUGUGAUUCCCAAAUUCGAAGAACUCAUAUGCAAUCUCAUGAUUGGUCAAGGUAAGCACUUUAUGGUAAGACCAUAACUUUGAUGAGUUAAUUUUUGCAAAGUACCACAUUUUUUCUACAAGCUUUUUGAAAUACCGGUAAUAUUUGAGGAAAGUCACGUCCAACGACAAUUGUUUUUCCACCAAAAAUUUUAUAUGUUGUUACAGAACCUCAUAAGAUCUCUAAGAGUGCGAUCAAAAGCCUCAAAAGCAAAUUUACUAAUCAUAUUCCAACUUCCUUACUUGAUGUUGCAAGUUGAUAAUUGUGUAAACUUUAAAGGUAUGAAAAUCAGGUAAAAGAAGUAAACCAAUCUCACUUGAACACAACUAAAUGCUCAUUUGGAAGAUGGAAGCUUAAUGUUUUAACAGAAGGCCAUGUGUCAUGGAUAUGACAUGCAAAAAUCCUCCACCACAAUUGUGUAUUUUGCUAUGUAGAAUCAUAAUGAUCAAAUUACCCAUAUUGUUAUCACCUCUAAAAUCUUGACAAAUAAAAAAGAACACGAAAAUAUUAUUUUAUUAAAAUCUAAAAAAAAUUGGCUACAUAUGUAAAAAUUUACAGCUCUUAGUUUUAUGAUACUUGUCCCAAAACACACAACACGCAUGUUAGGAAAAAUAUUUUAAUAAUAAUAGAAAAUUAUA